rnacentral:rRNA from 1 species
UGGUGGAGUGAUUUGUCUGCUUAAUUGCGUUAACGAACGAGACCUCAGCCUGCUAAAUAGUGAGGCGAACCUUUGGUUGGCGGAAACUUCUUAGAGGGACUAUCGCGUGUUUUAACCGAUGGAAGUUUGAGGCAAUAACA